UAAGACAGUCUCAUUCUGUCACCCAGGUUGGAGUGCAGUGGUGCAAUCUCAGCUCACUGCAACCUCUGCCUCCCGGGUUCAAGUGAUUCUCCUGUCUCAGCCUCCCAAGUAGCUGGGAUUACAGAGAUGGGGUCUAGCUGUGUUGCCCAGGCUGAAGUCCAGUGGCUUUUCACAGGCACAGUCAUACCACACUGAAUCUUGAACUCCUGAGAUCAAGCAAUCCUCCUGCCUCAGCUUCCAAAGUAGCUGGAAUUACAAGUGCUGGCCACUCUGCCUGGUUACAAUUCUUUUUAUUGCUGAAUAAUAUUCCAUUAUGUGGAUAUCCUAUACUUUGCUUAUCUAUUCAUCAGUUGAUGGACAUUUGGGUUGUUUCUACUGUUUGGCUAUUAUUAACACUGCUGUGAACAUGUACAAAGUUUCGUGUGGACAUAUGUUUUAAUUCUCGUGGGUAGAAAACUAUGAGUGAAAUUGUUGGGUCACAAGGUAAAUUUAUGUAAAACCAUUUUUUAAAAAUUUU
rnacentral:lncRNA from 1 species